GUGCCAGCAGCCGCGGUAAUACGAAGGGGGCUAGCGUUGUUCGGAAUUACUGGGCGUAAAGGGCGCGUAGGCGGUGUGUCAAGUCAGGCGUGAAAGCCCCGGGCUCAACCUGGGAACCGCGCUUGAGACUGGCACGCUCGAGUUCGGGAGAGGAUGGUGGAAUUCCCAGUGUAGAGGUGAAAUUCGUAGAUAUUGGGAAGAACACCGAUGGCGAAGGCAGCCAUCUGGACCGACACUGACGCUGAGGCGCGAAAGCGUGGGGAGCAAACAGGAUUAGAAACCCGAGUAGUCC
rnacentral:rRNA from 1 species